ACCAGAAGAGCUGAUUUAGCAUGUUUUCAUUAUUAUAUAAACUGAUUUUUUUUUUUAUUAAAAAUCUUAGUUCGAUCAAUAAUCUGUUUAUUUUCUCAGCAGAAAGUAAAUCAAUGUAGACUUGGUACAAUCAGAAAUAUUUCUUCUUUGGUCUCAUUUCACAUAAUCUAAUCCUACUUUAGUUCAACUACAAUCAAUUUAUGUUCUAACAAAUUGGUCAUAUUGCCAUUUAGCCUAUUCAUCAUUUUAUCUAAUUUCCAGUCAGGCUUUUUGUCUAAUAUUCUAUUGCAAUGUCAAAAUUAAUAUUUCAAUUUUAGCUGUAGCAAAUUAGGGCCCCGGUCUUACAAAGAGUUGCGAUUGAUCCAAUCAAUUGUAACUUCAUGGAAAUCCAUAUUUUUUUUCCACAGGUAAUUUACACAAUGUCCUUUGUAAACAAAGAGAAACAGGUGAAUUUUCAAGAAAACACUGAAUGCAUGAUAAUACAUCAGAGUUAGAAGAUAUUUUGAACAAACAUGCAUAAUAGAUGUUGAAGUUGCUGGCCGUCUAUAGUUGUGAUUGAUUGGAUCAAUCGUAACUCUUUGUAAGGCAUGGCCCUGAUUACACUUCUUGUUGCAAGAAACAGAUCAGCAAUCAAUCACAAAUUUACAAUCAAUUACAAGAAAUAUGAUUGAUUUAGGAACUGAAGAAAUACUUGCACUUGAUCACAAGUUUCUUGCAAUGCAGCAUUAGUCUCAACACCAGCUAUAGUCUCUAUGGUUAGAUGCACUGUUUAUGAACCAACUUUCAUUUGACAAAGUAGACAGAGUGGAAAUUUAACCAAGUGGACAUUAGACUAAAUGAGAAUUAGACUACAUGGGUAUUAGACCAAAUGUAGCAUAGACUAAAGGGCAACUUUGUAGUAGGAUAAACAGGUUUAGACCAAGUGGUAUUAAGAGAAGAAGAGACCAUCAGGAUGUCCCCCUUCCAGAUGGAGAUACCAAGACUGACGAGAUGUGGGUUUCCCCUACCCGAUGCUGAAGACCUAGCCCACGGGAGAACUGAAUGACCGUCGGGUCUUUAUUCCAGCAAUAAUAAUAUGCAUGUACUCUGUGCCAUGUGUGCCUAUCAGUGUUGGCGAUCUUCAGUGUGAUCGUUUUUCAGCUUAGAUUUUAUGAUUUCACAAAGUUCAGUUUAAAACUGAACCAGAUCUAGAUACACGAUGAUAUAGUAAUACUUAACUUUUGUUUUAAAGAAUUUCUCACAAAAUCAGUGUUUUACUGCAACUACUUUCAUUUAGCUUUAAGUCAGGUAUUAAGACUAUCAGAGAGGUAGACCAACAUUGACCAAGUAAAUAAAAACUGGUACAAUUACUUACAAAUGAUAAACAGUCAAAAACAACCAAAUGAAAAUUUGAUUUUGUGUACAGCCAUUUGACCUACAUGUAUUUAAUUCUUCUUUGCCAAUCACAACUAUAGUCUAAAGUCACGCUUUCAAAUAUUAUUGCAUUAUUAUUUGAUCAUUCACAUUAUAUGACCACAUCCUCUAUAAUUUAAAACCUUGAAUUCAAUUUCUGACAUCCCUAACCUUUAAACUCGAGACAUUCCUUAUGAGACUUACAAAUACAGUAUGUUUGAAUAAAAGGAAAAAAAGGAAAAGAUAUAAAAUAAAAUGUUAAAAAUUCACAUUACCAACUGAUAACUUGACUGGAGAAUACAUGUAUGACAUCUAUAUGGCACUCAUUAACUCUCCUGUUUACACAAAAGCCAUGGUGUAAUAAAGUACACCACCAGUGUUCAUAGAGGUCCAGACUAUGCAUUUGACACCAGUGUUACAUAUAUGGUGUCAGUUCAACACCUUUAGUAUCAUUAUAAGUUACACAUGUUGGGUGCUAUGUUAACACUAUUGAGUGUCAUGUUCAACUCCAGAGUGUAAAAUAAACAUGAGAGCACGUGUUCUCUACAAAACUGACAUGUGCUAUUCUUGACACCACAGUUCAUCAAGUGUACAAAAUAGAAGUGUAGCUAUUUCUAAACUCAUUUACACUUACAAUAGAAUCAUUACAUAACAUUGGACACAACUCACAUCUAUCAUCAUUGAAAUAAGUAAUGGUAUUUCAAAUACCAGAGACCUAGUCAGAUUCAAUAAUACACUUGUCUUUUUUUUAAGAUGGAGUUUCAGGGUAACCUUUACUAGACACAGUUGCCCAUAUCAUUUGAAAUAACAAAGGCUUGCUUGAAAAAAAACACCAUAAAAACCACGUGCUGGUUGAUUAAAUGCUCUCACAUUUUACCGGUGCUCUUGAACACCAUAGCCUUACUGAAAUUGUUCUCUUUUUUUUACAGAUCAAUCCAUCAAUAAAACUUUUUUUUCUUCAGGUGAUGUGGCCCAUGGGAAAAUGCCAUCUUUUCUGGGAUGGUGAACUUGGUUAAAGCUUCUAAGAAAAUUCCUUAAUAAAGCAUUUCAAAGUUUUAUCAGAAUGGGCUAAAGGUCUCUUUAAAAUAAAAAAAAGAUUUCUGUCAAGUCAACUUGCGUCAAAAAUAUCUGCCAAAUGUUUCCAGAAGCGGAUGCAUACUUUCUCUCAUUCAAAAACACAUAUUUAGAGAAAAAAAACACAUAAUUUUCCAAAAUGUAACAAUUUUUUUAUGCUUCUUUUAAACAAUCAUUUACAAAUUACUUUUCAAUUAGUAAUAGCGCUCAAGGUUCUAUAAAAUUCUAUGCAGCUUAAGAUAACAGCACCCCAAAUUAUAUCUGCUGUCUAAAAAAAAAACCCCUCUGAAAUAUUUGUUUAAGUCUCCUUGCAAGACUAGCACGUACAAAAAUAAUAAACUGAAUACUGAGAUCGGCUGAGGACAUCAUCCAAGUAAAAAUCAAAGUAAAAAUAGGCCUACUAACUUUUUUUUUAUUAGAUAUUGGAUUGAAUACUGACCUACAUAUUUCACUCAUACUUAAAAAAAGUCUUUAAAGCUGAAAUAAAAAUCACACUACAUCAUAUUUAUAACAAGUUCAUUAUGUGAUGGCUUCAAUUAAUAUAUUCAUGUGAAAAAAAGCAUAUUAAGUUAAAGGUUGAAAUGAUAUUUUUCACAUCCAUGGUGCAUACAUGUACACUGUGUAGUUACGUUAAUUCCCAUUCCUAGCUUCAACAACAGAGGGCGUCCUUG
rnacentral:lncRNA from 1 species